GGGCCCCAAAAGCAGCCCGAACUGCGCCCGGUCCUCCUCCAUCCUGGGCCCCAAAGCAGCCCCAACUGUGCCUGGUCCUGCUUCAUCCUGGGCACCAAGAGCCUGGCUGUGCCGGGGCUCCCUUUGGUCUGGGCCAAGAGCAGGCCUCAACUGUGCCAGGCCCCCCUCCAGCCCAGGCCCCAAAGCAGCCCCAACUGUGCCUGCUCCUCCUCCAUCCUGGGCCCCAAAGCAGCCCCAACUGUGCCUGCUCCUCCUCCAUCCUAGGCCCCAAAGCAGCCCCAACUGCGCCCGGUCCUCCUCCAUCCUGGGCCCCAAAGCAGCCCCAACUGUGCCUGCUCCUCCUCC
ensembl:lncRNA